ensembl:lncRNA
UAUAAACUAUAUGAGAUAAUGUGUACAAGUCUAGACAAAGACCGAGCUUGUCAGGAGUAUAGUGACAUUAUCUUGUUGUUUGGUUUCUUUUUUGCUUGUUUUUUUCCUUACAUUCCUUACAUCUAUUUUCUUCAACCAAUCCUAUUGUUGUUCGUUUUUUGUUUUCUUUUUUGUUUUUUGUGGUAUGUUGGCUUGAUUCACUUUAUUUGAUGUGGGAAAUCAUUUUUCCCCAAAGAAAGCAAACACUUUUUACAACUUCUUCAUGAACGAGACUUUUAAAGUAAUUUACAGCCAAUUUGUUUUCAUGCAGCAAUUAAACUGAUAUUAAAACUAUGGAGACCAAGAAGGAAUGAACAUUUAUCAGCUCAAAUGCAACUACAGGAAUUCACUGCUACUUACCACAAUGUAAAAGUUGACCCAGGCAGAUCAUCACUCUGACCCUCCAAAGAGACAGCAGGAAACGGCUCAUCGUGAACCUUCAACUUCAGGCUCAACACUGUACGUCCUCCGCUGCGAUCAAGCUCUUGGUUAAUGCAACUGUGUAAUCUGUGUAAUCGCUCUGUCUGUUCACACCUUGAUUUACCUGCACUUCAGGCUACGAACCCUCUGAAACCUUUCCCGCUGCAAAUGGGAAAAUGUAAUUCUGUGUCCCGUUGAGGAAGACGGCAAAUAUUGUGAUUUGGCCUGUUCAGAUCGCUCCUGUGCAUUCCCGAACUCAAUAAAAGGAUUCGUAGGAUACAUAUCCAAUGAAAUUGCCAAGCCUGUGGGACUGGACGUGAGAAAACGUACGAAGAAGUGGAAAAACUGGAGGGACAAAAAGGAGUGGGGAUCAAAUAGAGAGAAGGGCAUCCCAGACCAGCUCAUAAAUUGACCAUUGCAAGACUUAGCAUUAAAUAUAAUAAAUCAAAAAUAAAACCUGCUGGACAUUUUCAACUCUGAAUGUAAACUAAAUCAACGACUUUGCUUGUUUCCAGCAGGUGAUGCAAGUUUUUGACAAAUUCAGAGAAAGAUAAUUUUCCCCAGUCCCCCUGUCCUUGUCACAAAGAUUGUACCUUUGCAGCUACUUCCUCUCU